rnacentral:lncRNA from 1 species
GGGGGGGGGGUCUUGCAGUUUUCAGCUCAUCUCUUUGAUAGGCAUUUCUCCCCAAUAGGCUGUCAAGUUAAAGCCCAACCCUGUCACAGCUGUACUCAAAUAGGAGCCAGUUUGGAAGGCCUGGCCAGGUUUCCUGGGUCUUUCCAGAGCAGGGGUCAGCAGACCUUUUGUGUAAAGGGUCAGAGAGGAAAUACAGUCUUUUCAGCUUUUGGGCCGAGCUGUCUCUCUGCAGCUGGUCAACCCUGCGGUGAGAGCUGGAAGCAGCCCAGACAGAGACCAGUGGGCUUGGCCCUGUUCCAGAACAGGCCCCCAGCUGGACUUGGCUCAGUUUGUUGAUCUCUGUUCUAGGGAGUGGCCAAGAGGGUCUGCAUCUCCCCUGAUCUCUCCACUAGCUCCCUCGAAGUCAUUGGAGGCCAGAGAUGAGCUCAAUUUACCUACAUGUCAGUGAUUUAUUUAUUCUAGGGAGUAUCUUUGCUCCAAACACAGCUGGUCAUUAUAGGCCCCAAACCCAAUCUCUACAGAAAUCAUUUGGGGGUGGGGGUGGGGGUGGGAGUUGGGUGACAUGCUAAGAGAAGCACCCAGAAGACCCAGGGUGCAGAGAGCAGAGGGUUGGUGCAUUUAAUCCAGCUCAACCCUCAAAGGGAGGGAGGAGGCACUGAAUGUCGCUCCGCCAUGAGAACAGGCGUAAACCAUGGUGACGGCGUGCCACGGCCACCACAGCAGGCUGGCAUUUCUUUCCAGCACUCAGGAGCUAACCAAAUGCCCCCUGCCACGGCGCUGGGUGGGCACGGUGUGCGAACGUCUCUGGGUCUGCCUACUGAUGUCCCCUUGGUUGCUUCUAUUGUAAAUAUUUGUCACUUGUAUUUGUUACCUCUGUGCUUCCCCCAAGGCCUGAUGUGGCUCGCCAUGCUCAUUCGAACUCCCUGAUGGGUGGCGGUGGUGUGUUGUUCAUGCCACGGCUUGGUUGUUUUUUUUCCUUCAAGAGUUAGGGGACUGUCAUUCCCUCUGACUCGCCUGGGGACAGGCAGCACGAAACAGCACUGGCGGCUACAGUCGUCCUGCUCCUGGCUGUCCAUAGGUGGUGUGCGUCCAGGGAACAUCUGCACAGUCUAAAGUGUGUGUGGGGGGGGGGAGCAGUAGCUGAAAACAGCUGCGCCCCUCGCUCCGCGCUCCGUACAAAUUCACUCUCGAGCCUUCCUUUGAGGAAGGAUGUGGAUCUCCAAAUACAGAUGCCAUGUUUAUUUUGAGCUUCGCAUCUUAACAACAUGAUCUGAACACCUCUCCUCUGUAUCAAUAAAUAGCCCUGUUAUUCCCAAAUGGAGGGGCCCGGAGAGUGAAAGGCUGACACCAAAACUAAAUAAAUAGAAAACAUCAGCCCAGCACCGCAGUCACACUUUGACACACACAGGCAGAUAUUUAAACUCAAGCCCAGUAAAAGGCGUCACAAACCCAACACGGAAAAACAAUGCUUGCCGCAGUCACUUCCUAAGGAAGAGCAGCCCCGACUGAUCUCAGAAGUGGCACCACGUGGGCUGGCUAAGUCAGAAGAUCUGUCUGUGUGGGUCUAGGCAGCAGGUUCUGUACGUUGUCACACUGCAUUAUUUUCCUUCAAGGAUCAAUAAAGGUUUUAAAUA